rnacentral:rRNA from 1 species
UACAGAGGGUGCGAGCGUUAAUCGGAAUUACUGGGCGUAAAGCGUGCGUAGACGGUUAUUUAAGUCGGGUGUGAAAGCCCCGGGCUCAACCUGGGAAUUGCAUUCGAGACUGAAUAGCUAGGGUGCGGUAGAGGGAAGCGGAAUUUCCGGUGUAGCGGUGAAAUGCGUAGAUAUCGGAAGAACAUCAGUGGCGAAAGCGGCUUCCUGGACCAGCACCGACGUUCAGGCACGAAAGCCGUGGGGAGCAAACAGGA